rnacentral:rRNA from 1 species
UACGUAGGGGGCUAGCGUUGUCCGGAAUCAUUGGGCGUAAAGCGCGUGUAGGCGGUUCGGUAAGUCCGCUGUGAAAGUCGGGGGCUCAACCCUCGAAAGCCGGUGGAUACUGUCGGACUAGAGUACGGAAGAGGCGAGUGGAAUUCCUGGUGUAGCGGUGAAAUGCGCAGAUAUCAGGAGGAACACCGGUGGCGAAGGCGGGUCUCUGGGCAGUAACUGACGCUGAGGAGCGAAAGCGUGGGGAGCGAACAGG